rnacentral:rRNA from 1 species
GCAUCACUGGUGUUCGGGUUGUCAUGCCAAUGGCACUGCCCGGUAGCUAAAUGCGGAAGAGAUAAGUGCUGAAAGCAUCUAAGCACGAAACUUGCCCCGAGAUGAGUUCUCCCUGAGACUUUAAGUCUCCUGAAGGAACGUUGAAGACGACGACGUUGAUAGGCCGGGUGUGUAAGCGCAGCGAUGCGUUGAGCUAACCGGUACUAAUGAACCGUGAGGCUUAACCUUACAACGCCGAAG